rnacentral:rRNA from 1 species
CCUACGGGAGGCAGCAGUGGGGAAUAUUGCACAAUGGGCGCAAGCCUGAUGCAACAACGCCGCGUGAGGGAUGACGUCCUUCGGGUUGUAAACCUCUUUUAGUAGGGAAGAAGCGCAAGUGACGGUACCUGCAGAAAAAGCACCGGCU